rnacentral:rRNA from 1 species
UACGGGGGGGGCAAGCGUUGUUCGGAUUUACUGGGCGUAAAGGGCGCGUAGGCGGUCGUGACAAGUCACUUGUGAAAUCUCCGGGCUUAACUCGGAACGGUCAAGUGAUACUGUCGGACUAGAGUACAGAAGGGGCAACUGGAAUUCUCGGUGUAGCGGUGAAAUGCGUAGAUAUCGAGAGGAACACCUGCGGCGAAGGCGGGUUGCUGGGCUGAUACUGACGCUGAGGCGCGAAAGCCAGGGGAGCGAACGGG